UAUAGAGUCCGACUACUAUACUCUUAUGAGUACGAUCGUCCUCGUACUCAUAAAUUGUUUUCGAUGAUAGAGCUUCCGAAUCGACAAUCCACACCGUUAAACGUUAUUUAGGGCAUUUAAAACUUCUAGAAAUCAAAUUUCAUAAUUUUUCGACAUCAUUUAACUUAUGAUCAAAAGCUCACAAAAUUGACAAUUUUUAACUGCCGGUAAGGGAUACUUGCUAGUUUAACGGUGGAAAAGAAUCGGAAUAGGUUGAAUUUUUGAUAGAAAAUUCUAUUCACUACCUAGAUAAAGAUCAAUAACUC
rnacentral:lncRNA from 1 species